UGUGAGCAGGGCCAGGAAAAUGGAGAACAAAGCUCAAAAGCGGCAGUGUUUAAUCGGAAGAACGAGUUUGAAUGAUAUGCAAGUCACAGGCUUGGACGGAUGGCUCGGGAAAGGAGCCGUGGUCACCAAGAAACGAAGGGGAAACAUGGGAACCUUUUCUUCAGGGAAGAGGAGCAAGCAGAAGAAAAUGCAAUGUUAUUUUCAACAGGUAGUGACGAGCAGUACUGUUAAGGACGUUGAACCGACAAAAAAUGAAAAUGUGCAGGUCCCAAAUAUGAGGGUUUGCACCAAAAAAUCAGACUUAAAAGAAGAGCCUGUAGUGCCCCCUGUUAUUGUGGAGGAAGUGACAGUAACGGCAACAGAGGUUAAUAACCUGAGUUCUGCUCUUCCGAGUUUUGAAAUGGAAUUUGAGUUUGAGAGCGACAUAAUUGUGCCAAGAAGAAAGAGUGACAGAAAGAAAUCUGUAAUUUCGCAGAACUCACAUAACCCUGACAAAGUUCCUGAGGAAAGUUUGAAUCUUGAUGAUUUGUAACAUUUGAUAAAUGAUUAAAAAGAUG